UUUACAUAUUAAUUUAAGUUGUUGAUUUUUAAUAUUGGUGACUACUGCGGCAAGGAAAAACGUACGAAGUCCCAUCCAAUAAACAGAGAAGAUAAUAUCGCGAUCCAUUGAGAAAAGAAGGCCACGAUAAAGAAGAAUGG